CCUAAAUUAAACAUUUAUAUGCUAAACUAUAAAAAUCUUAGGGAGGGUCAAAAAUCACAUGUCUACAGUAUGCUUAACCAGGAAAGUUCUAGCCAAACCAAUAUCAUGAUAAGUUAAAGUCUAGAUACAAAACUAGCAUGAAACCUAUUAUCAACAGAAUGAGUGAAUACAAGAACAAAUUAUAGAAUCAACUACUGAAAUGCAUAAAACAAAGGUAGAUUCCAAAUUACAUCAACUGAUAUUAAUGCUAGGUCUCCACAUUCAAUUAACAUGCUUCAAGUUGAACUUCACAUUUGAUAGGAUCCAACAGAUACCUGGGACAGAGUUUAGAGCAAAAGAAAAAUGAGGAAAUCAACAGCAACAGGAGACUGUAAACCAACAAUUCAGCACAUGUAACCUCAGUUUCCUUAGACCAUUUGUAACCCAGGUAACAGAAAUUCUUUGAAAGUUUGGAAAAUUCAAACUAACUAUGAAUAAUCAAGAGCAGAACCAAAGCAAGCCUAACCAAAAUGCAGGGAAUUUUCAGUAUUUUUUAGAGUGUCAAAGGCUCAGUCGUUUCUCAAUUUUUAGUAUUGUAAUCCCUGCCUCUAAAUGAAAGGAAAUGAACCUUAAAUAACCAGCUCCUAGGGCAACAAAACUGAUUUUAGCCUUACCCCUUCCCCCAAUUUCCUUUUUCAUCUUAGACCUCAAGUUUUAGCCUAUUUACUAAACCAACCCAAUCCCCACCUUCCUGGAAAUUUCCUAGGUAGUUUUAAAGAUUCCCUCAACUUAAAAUGACCAAAUCAACCCUUGACACCCCUGUAUUUACUUUCAAAUUACUAACCUGGGUCAAGUUAACCCAAGACCCCAAAUGAACAGGUCUCUUAACUGGGUCAGUGAUGACCACAGUUAAUACAAGAACCCAAAACAUCACAAAUAAUUGAACAAAGAAGAUCAUAUUCAGAAAAAGAAAAUAAGUAAUAAUUCAAAACUUUACGAUUAAACCUAAUUUUAACUAAGAAAUUAAAACGAAUUCCAUUAUUAAAGAAGACGGGACAAAACAAUGAAGCAAAUAAAAAUAAAAUAAAAAAAACAGAAAAUAUUACAAUGAACAAAAUCAUGAAAAAUAAGAGGGGAAAGUACCAAAUCCUGCCGGAAUGUCCCGACAAUAUGAAAUGAAUCGACGAACGAUGACGGGAGUAGACAUUUCGCCGGAAUCUGAUGAGUUCAUCAAAAUCCAGCAUCCUCGGAAUGAAAUAAAACCAAUGCUAAUCGAUUGUUCUCGUUAAGAGCAAUCUACUAACGUAGAUUAUAGGUCAAAGCGAGCCGGAGAUCUACUCGAAUUUACAAAACUAGAAUAAAUUAUGGUUUGAAUCUCUAGAUCCAGAAUUGGGGGAAUUUCGUUGGGGUUUUUGGGAAAUAAAUGUGAGGAUAGGAUUUAGGAGGUCCUGGGGGUUGCGUGGUAUGAAUUUGGGGUGAUUUGAAGUUGUGCCGCCACCGGAGAUGGUGAGGCGUUCUAAGGCGACGCUAGGGUUUUUUAGUCUUUGAGUAUGAGAGAGGGGAGACGAGGAAGAUUGAAUUGGGGUGGGGGGGUGGGGGGUGGGGUAGGGAUCGUUGAGACACUAAUAUACUUAAUGGACCUUAGUUCCCAACCAUUAGAUCCAUGGAGAUCAACGGCUGAGAUUCUAAGAGGAAAAACGGUGUCGUUUCUGAUGGGGGAGGGAAAGCGGACCGGGUCAAGGGAUUGGCCUAGGAAGAUGGAAAGAUUGGGGUAUAUUUUAGGCGGAUUCUCAAGUAAACUGACCCAAUUUCAAAUUCUCAAUUUCUUUUUUUUUAUUUUCCUUUUAUUAUUAUUUUUCUUUUCCUUUUCAAUUAAUUAAAACCUAAAUUAAACUCUUCAACUAAACUAACUUACACAAUUAAACUAAUAAUCCACCAUAAUAAUUAUAAAAAUUAAUUACUCCUAAAUUAAAAAAAAUUACUAAUUAAAAAUUAAAAGGCUAAAAAUGCAAAAGUGAUUCAUUUUUUGUGAUUUUUCAUUUCUAUAAAAUAACUAAUUUACCAAUUAAGCUAAAAAAGUAAAAAUAAACCCCAAAUUCCAUGCAAAGUAUUUUUUGUAUUUUUUCAUGAUUUAAAUAAAAUAAACAUGCACAGACAAAUGCAAACAAUUAACAAAAAAUCAUAUGAAAAAUAUACAAAAUUGCAAAUAAUGGGAAAACAUUAUUUCUUAGAGUUUAUGGGAGUAAUUCAUAUAGGGAAAAAAUCACAUGCUCACAAGCCACGGUAUGUUCCUCUUUCUUUUGGAGUGCAUACGAUGUUGUUGUGAGACUGUUUUUACAUGAUCAUUUCUCCUUCGAGUUACCAUGUUUAGGUUGAAGCCUUCUUCCUUAUUUCCUCAACUAGUCUUUUAUUGUAGUACAUACGGAGGACUCUCUGACUCUUGUAAAACUGCGAGCUUAUUUGUAACGACCCGACCGAUCGUUUUAAGAAUUAAUUCCUCGAUCCCCUAUUAACUGCUUUCGCCGUGUUUGUUUCUGCUAUUUUGAUUGGUCGAGAUAUUUGGUUUUGAGUUUCGGAGUAUUUUGGGACACUUAGCCCCUAAAAAAGAGCUUAAACUUUAGAAUUUGGACCAUAGCCGGAGCAGUAUGAAGACGUCUUCUGAAUAGAAUUCUGUCAAUUCCGUUAGCUCCGUUGGGUGAUUUCGGGCUUAGGGGCAUGUUCAGAUUGUGUUUUGGAUGUUCGUAGCUUAUUUUGGCUUGAAAUGUCGAAAUUUGAAAUUUUGGAGUUUCCAGUUCGAUAGUGAGAUUUUGAUAUCGGGGUCGGAAUGAGAUUCCAAAAGUUGGAAUAGCUCUGUAGUGUUGAAUGUGGCUUGCUUGCAAAAUUUUAGGUUAUUCGGACGAGGUUUAAUAGACUUUUUGAUCGAAAGCAUAAUUUAAGAAUUUUUGGAGUUCUUAGGCUUGAAUUCGAUGUUAAAUUGGUAUUUUAAUGUUAUUUUGAGUGUUUAGAAGGUUGGAAAAAGUUUUAAUGAUGUUUUAGGAUUGGUUGGCAUGUUUAAUUGAGGUCUCGGGGGCCUCGGGUGUGUUUCAGAUGCUUAACGGGCCAUUUUUGGACUUAGAAAUUGCAGAAAAAUUAUAGCAGGUCAGUUCUGGUUUCCUUCUUCGCAUUUGUGAGUGGGGUCUCGCAUUCGCAAAGAGGAGUUGGGGGUGGUGGAGGUUUAAUGCUUCACGUUCGCGAAGGUGUUCCCGCGUUCGCGAGGCUGUGAGGUCUUAUACCUACGCGUUCGCGAAGAUGGUCCCACGUUCGCGUAAGAGGGGGGGAGAUGGUUACCACGUUCGCGACAGAGAUAUUGCGUUCGCGAUGAAGGAAGACUAUACCAAGCGAAAUUGUGCUUCGCGAAUGCGAGGGUCCUUCCGUGUUUGCGAAGAAGGAAUUAUCUGGGCAAAAUAUAAAAUUUCAAAGUCGAGGGUUUGGCCAUUUUUAUCAAAACUAGAGCUUGGGAGCUCAGAUUUGAGCGAGAGUUUGAGGGAUUUUCAGAGAUAUCGAUUGGGUAAUGAUUCUUAACUCCUUUUUGCUUAUAACCCAUUAAUCUAAACAUGAAUUCAUCAUAUAAUUUCGGAUUUGGGGAAAAAUUUGGAAAAGUUCUAAGACCUAAUUUUCGAGUUUUGAUUAGGAAUUUGAUAUUGUAUUUGGAUAAUUUUGGUAUAGUUAGACUCGUGAGUGAAUGAGGGUUCAUAAUCCGUAAAUUUUACCCGAUUCUGAGACAUGGGUCCGGGGGCAUUUUUGUCAUUUUACCUAAUUUCACGUAUUAGCUUAGAAUAUAUUUGUGGAAUCAGUUACUUGAAGUUAUAUUUACAUUAUGCAAUUUAAUGGAAUAGAUUUGGACCAUUUGGAGUCGAGUACUCAUUGCAAGAACGUGGUUUCGGGUUGAUUUUGAGCCGAUUCGAGGUAAGUGGCUUGCCUAACCUUGUGUGGGGGAACUACCCUUAGAAUUUGGUAUUGUUGAUAUUUGAAAUGUCAUGUACGUGAGGUGACGAGUGCGUACUCGUGCUAAUUAUUGAAAAUCCUAUUUUCAUUAAGUAACUCUAAUUGUGUUUCCUUUCCUGCUUAUAUUACUUGCAAUUUAAGCCUGCUGUUAGCAUAGGGAAGCAUGUCUAAUUGACUUAAUUGCUUUAUUUGCUCAAACUGCCUUAAUUGGAUCAUGUGUAGCAUGCUAGGUUAGAAAUACCUGUUUUACCUUGGUAUGAAAUUUGAACUGAAUUGAGUAUUCUCCGUAUUGCUGUUGUGUGUUUACUUUGGGACAACGGGACGGUAUCACGGGAGAUCCCCCUGCUUGUUUACUUUGGGACUACGGAUUUGUAUUUCGGGAGGUCCCUUUCACCUAUAUUGAUUUGAAUUGUAGUGCGGAAUACCGAGAGAUCCCCAGAAUAUAUAUAUUGAGGAUACUAAGAGAUCCUCAGGAUACUGAGAGAUCCCCAGCACACAUAUUGAGGAUACUAAGAGAUCAUCGGGAUACUGAGAGAUCCCCAGUUGUUAUAUCUGUGUUGAGCGGCAUUGUUUUUGUGAUUAUUUUGUUUCUGUUAUAGUUGUUGUUAUUCUUAUUUAUCCUGUGUUACUUCUUACUAUUAGCAUUUAAUUAUAUUAUCGUAUUCUAUAAUGUUUUACCUCGUUUUUCAGCUAUAAUCAGUAGGGCCCUGAUCUUCCUCAUCACUACUCGACUAAUGUUAGGCUUGGCACUUACUGAGUACCGCUGUGGUGUACUCCUGCCCUUUCUGCGCAUGUUUUUCAUGUGCAGAUCCAGGUACUUCGACUCAGUCCCAUUGCUCUUGAGGCGAGGCGAUUCUCCAUAGACUUCGAGGUAUAUCUGUCGCGUCCGCAGACCGAGGAGUCUCUUUCCAUUCUCUCUCAUAGUAUUAGCCCUUCUGUAUUUACUUUUGUUUAGACAUUUAGAAACUUGUAGUUAUUCAACAGCUUGUGAUUUCAUGAGAUUCCGGGUUGUGGGAAGUUGUUCAGUUUUUGAGAUCUUGUAUUAGUAUAUGACGAGCGACAUCUUAAAUGUUUCUAUAUUUGCUUAUCUUCAGUUUUUAUUAGUUUUUCCACAAUUGUUAGGCUUACCUAGUCGUAGAGACUAGGUGCCGUCACGACAGUUCAGGAAGGGUGAACUUGGGUCGUGACAAGUUGGUAUCAGAGCUCUAGGUUCAUAGGAGUCAUGAAUCACAAGCCGGUUUAUUAGAGUCUCGCGGAUCAGUACGGAGGCAUCUGUACUUUUCUACGAGAGGCUAUGUAACUGUUAGAAAAAUUCCACUUCAUUUGAUUUCCUUGUCGUGCGAGAUUUUUGAUGUCACAAUUCUAAACUUCUGCCUUCUAUUCUCUUAUAAAUGGUGAGGACACGUGCUACUAGAGAUGAUCAGGCACCCGCGCCCCCUACUAGAGCUAUCAGAGGUUGGGGCAGGGGUAGUGGCCGAGGAUGCGCACGUGGUGCAGCCAGAGCACCCGCGUGAGCUGCCACCGAGGCGCCACUAGCAGUUCCAGCCGGAGUCCAGGCACCUAAUACGCCUACUGCUACUACUACUCCAGCUCUCCAGGAGACUCUUAUGCAGUUCAUGAGCAUGUACACCACUCUAGCUUAGGCAUGGUUGCUUCCCCUUGCUGCAGCUACAUCUUAGGCGGGGGGAGGAGCACAGACUCCCGCUGCCCGCACUCCUGAGCAGCGAGUGCAUGCUGAUCAGGUCCCAGAGAUUAUUUAUGUACAGCGUGCAGUCCCAGAUCAGCCCGAGGACUGGGCAGCGACUUUCGAGGAUGAGCAGCUGAGGAUUGAGAGCUUCAAGAAGUACAAGCCUCCAAUAUUCAGUGGUCUAGCAUCAGAUGAUUCUAUGGUAUUUCUAGAUGAGUGCUAUCGUAUCCUCCGUACCAUGGGUAUAUCAGGAUCGAGUGGGAUUUCCUUCACUAUCUUCUAGCUUCGAGGAGCCGCCUAUGAGUGCUGGCGUACCUAUGAGUUAGACAGUCCGGAUGAGGUAGCUUCCCUAACUUGGACUCAAUUUUUAGAUAAGUUCCUGAGAGAGUAUGUUCCUCAGAGCCUUAGGGACACAUGGCGCACAGAGUUUGAGCAUUUGCACCAGGGUGAUAUGAUUGUCUCGGAGUAUGCCGUCCGUUACACUAGCUUGGCUAGACAUGCCCCAGCCUUGGUUUCCACUAUUCGCGAGAGGGUUCGCCGAUUUAUUAAAGGGAUUAUACCCAGCAUCAAGUCUAGCAUGGAUCGUGAGUUGGCGAUGGAUAUUUCUUAUCAGCAGAUGGUGAGCAUUGCUAGGAGGAUAAAAGGUAUGUAUGCUAGGGACAGAGAGAAGAGGGAGGCCAAGAGGUCUCGAGAGUCGGGCCAUUAUUCUGGUGCCCGUGCUCCAGCUGUAGUUCGUCAUGGUAGGGGUUAUAUGAGUCGCCCCGUUCAUUCAGCUCUUCCAGCAGCUAGUGGUAUUCCAGCUCCUCCUAGGCCUCAAGAGCCAUUAUGCACCUCCAAUAUCUAGUGCGCCUCCUGUGCAGGGUGCUUUCAGAGGUCAGUCCAACAGACCUGGCCCAAGCCAGUCAUAACCGCCACUUCUUCCCAAGGUUUGUUUUGAGUGUGGUGACACACGCCAUGUGGUGAGGGAUUGCCCUAGACUUGGGAGGAGUGAACUUCCACAGACUUCUCAGCCACAGCAUGCCCCGCAGAGUUCUCAAGCUACAGUUACAGCUCUAGUUGCUACCCCACAUGCUCAUCUAGCUAGAGGUGGAGGUCGGGGAGGUAGAGGUCGCCCUAGAGGGGGAGGCCAGGCCAGAUAUUAUGCCCUUUCUUCCUAUACCAAGGCUGUCGCCUCUGACUCUAUCAUCACAGGUACUAUCUUGGUUUGUCAUAGGGAUGCAUCUAUUUUAUUCAAUCCAGGCUCCGCUUAUUCUUAUGUGUCUUCUUAUUUUGCUCCACAUUUGCGUGUAUCUCGGGAUUCUUUGAGUUCCCCUAUUUAUGUUUCUACUCCUCUGGGAGAUUCUCCUGUUAUGGACCGUGUUUAUCGGUCAUGUGUGAUUGUUCUUAGUGGUUUUGAGACCAGAGCUAAUUUAUUAUUUCUCAGCAUGGUAGUUUUUGAUGUCAUCUUGGGCAUGGACUGGUUGUCGCCCCAUUAUGUUAUUCUUGAUUGUCAUGCCAAAACUGUGACGCUGGCUAUGCUAGGUGUAUCGCAAGUAGAGUGGAGGGGUACGUUCAUACUCCUAGUAGAGUUAUUUCAUUCCUUAAGGCUCAGUGUAUGGUUGAGAAGGCGNNNNNNNNNNNNNNNNNNUUUUUUNGAUGUGUUUCCAGCUAAUCUUUUGGGCAUGCCGCCCGAUAGAGAUAUUGAUUUUUGCAUUGAUCUGUUGACGGACACUCAGCCUAUUUUUAUUUCUCCGUAUCGUAUGGCCCCUCCUGAGUUAAAGGAGUUGAAGGAUCAGUUACAGGAAUUGCUUGAUAAGGGUUUUAUUUAGCCCAGUGUAUCACCUUGGGGUGCUCAUGUCUUGUUUGUGAAGAAAAAAGAUGGUUCUAUGCGUAUGUACAUUGAUUAUCGCCAGUUGAACAAAGUUACAGUGAAGAACCGUUAUCCUUUUCCUCGUAUUGAUGAUUUGUUUGACCAGCUACAAGGUGCACGAGUGUUUUCUAAGAUUGACUUGAGUUUAGGUUACCAUCGGUUGAAGAUUCGGGAGCUAGAUAUCCUGAAGACUGCUUUCAGGACUCAGUAUGGUCAUUACGAGUUCCUUGUUAUGUCAUUUGGGCUGACCAAUGUCCCAACAGGCUUUAUGCAUUUAAUGCAUAGUGUGUUCCGGACAUAUCUUGACUCGUUUGUUAUUGUCUUUAUUGAUGAUAUUCAGGUAUACUCCCAGAGUCAAGAAGAUCAUGAGCAGCACCUGAGGACAGUACUUCAGACUUUGAGGGAAAAGAAGUUAUAUGCAAAGUUCUCGAAAUAUGAGUUUUGGUUGAUUUCCGUGGCAUUUUUAGGCCACGCGGUAUUGAGUAAGAGUAUUCAGGUGGAUCCGAAGAAAGUGGAGGCAGUGCAGAGUUGGUCCAAAUCGCCCUCAGCUAUAGAGAUUUGUAGUUUUCUUGGCUUGAUGGGUUAUUACCGUCGAUUUGUUGAGGGGUUUUCAUCUAUUACAGCCUCUAUGACCAAGCUGACCCAGAAGGGUGCUCUGUUCUAGUGGACGAAAGAGUGUGAGGUGAGUUUUCAGAAGCUCAAGACAGUUUUAACUACAACCCCAAUUUUGAUAUUGCCUAUAGGUUUGGGGUCUUAUACUGUCUAUUGUGAUGCCUCGAGGAUUGGCCUUGGAGCGGUAUUGAUGCAAGACAGUAGGGUGAUUGCCUACGUGUCCAGACAGUUGAAGGUACAUGAGAAGAAUUAUCAUGUCCAUGAUCUCGAGUUAGAUGCUAUUGUUCACGCCUUGAAGAUCUGGCAUCAUUAUUUGUACGGUGUGCCUUGUGAGAUUUAUACUGGUCACCGGAGUUUGCAGCAUCUGUUCAAGCAUAAAGAUCUUAAUUUGCGUCAGAUGAGGUGGUUAGAGCUGCUGAAGGACUAUGAUAUCACUAUCUUGUAUCACCCGGGCAAGGCCAAUGUGGUGGCCAAUGAUUUGAGUCGCCGAGCAGAGAGUUUGGAGGGUUUGGCUUAUUUACCAGCAGCGUAGAGGCCCAUGGUGAUGGAUGUUCAGGCCUUAGCCAGCCAGUUUGUGAGAUUAAAUCUUUCGGAGCCCAGUCGGGUUCUGGCUUGCGUGGUUUCUCGGUCUUCCUUAUUUGAUCGUAUCCGGGAGUGUCAGUUUGAUGACCCUCAUUUUCUUGUCCUCAAGGACAAGGUUGUUACACCCCAUAUUUUCGUACAUGAAAAUAUGCUAUAAAUAAAUUAAUGAGAGCCCGGAAGUGAGAUGUCGCGUCCCGCAGUACUACAUUACGACGAUGUUGCACCCUGUAGUGUUGUACGUUUGAAUUUGUCAUAAGGUAAUUGACAUUAGUCCAAGGACAAUAUUAUAAGGAUUAUGCUAUUUCAAACAAGUAAUAAGUAAAUUCAUAAAGGUGAGAGGGGGAAACAAGUAAAAAAAUGAAUUUUCGACCAAGUUUGGCAUGUUGGGAUAAAAUACGGCUCGAGCUAAAAUACUCGAUAUUUAUGGACUAGUACCACAAGGUACCACAUGACCAUAAUAGUAAGGUGUAUAAGGUAUGUGAAAAGUGAGUAAUAUUUUAAGUAAGUGGGAAUAAUUCUCAAUUUUGCGGAUAAUUAAUUAAUUACCGGGUGACGGGACAUUACCUAAUUAAUUAGGGACAUAUUUGGAUAAGAUUAAUCCCAAAAAAUAUGGUAGCCAUUAAGCUAACCAAAUAUAUGACUAAGAGUCAUAUUAACUUGGUCGAGGCUUGUGAACUCAUUUUAUCAAAGGUGUAACACCUUGUGUGAUCAAAAGAUUCCACGUAUUCAUAUUAUUUCUUUAAGACAAAGUAAAAUUAGUUCUUUUACUCUACUACUACUAGAAUAUUAGUAUAACUCAUCUAAUUGAAAGGGGGGAUGAUUUUGAGAAUAUCUUGACCUGCAAAGAAAGCAAUGUAAUUUCAUACAAAAUUAUAAUGCAUAAUAGCAACGGGAUUUUGCGAUUCUAAGGGAGUACGGUGCAAUAUUUCUCAAGAAUAUCAUACGGAUUUUCUUCUACUUUGAUCAGCCGUUACGUGUUGUCGUUGUUGAUACCCAAUUUUUUCCGUAUAUUUUAAUAUAUAAAAUAAUUGUAAAAUAGCAUGUAUAUGCAUAUAUAAGUAUGUCCCAAGGUUUCAAUAUUUUUCCCAAUUUUUAAAGGUUUUUAAAUCAAUUUAUUGCCUAUUUCAUCAAGAAAAAACCAUUAAUUAUCCCCAAAAUUAUUAUUUUGGUGAUUCAUUUAGUGGAUUCUCAUAUUUAUACUAAAAUAUAUCUAACACAAUUUUGCAUAUUUUUACAAAUUUAUUUAGCAUUUUUAGGCUAAAUUGCAUAUAAUUGUAAUAUUAGCCUCUUCUAAGAUUUAAUUGUAAUUAUAUUUAUUAAAUUGGCUCCAGUAUUUUUUAUUUGAUAAUUAUGUAUUAUUAAUCAUCUUAGUGCCUUUAAUUUAUUUUCAGAAAUUAUUUUACCAUUUUUAUAAAAUCAAAUAAGGGAAAAGUGGUCAUUUAAAUGCUAGCCCCGUUUAUUUCAAUUAUAGCCCUAAACAGCCCUCAAUUAAACCCAAUCUCAAGCCCAAUUACCCUGACCCAAACCCCGUUCAAAAUGACCCAGACCCGUUUCCCACCUACCCUCUCUAAUCUCAACCGUUGAUCUCCCAGAUCAACGGUCCCCAUUUCCCUUUCCUUUUUUAAUUUCCCAUUACCCCCUAACCCUAAUCAAUUCUCGUCUGAAGCCGCCCUUGAAUUCCCCAUCUCCCAAUUCUCUCUCAAUCUCUUUCAGAAACCCUAGCCGCCACCUUCAAUCACCACCUAAAAUCGACCACAUCCAGGGCUUCCAAAGCCAUUGAUGGCCUGUAUCUACCUCCUACAACUCCUGCAUGCUCGAUUAUCAUGACCUCAAGGUCAGACCUUGAAGAAAUUUGGUCCAGACCUCGGAUGUUUUCAGUGCUAUGGCUGUCUCCGGCCACCCUCGACCUUGCUCCGGCCGGCUAUGGCUAUUCAAUCCUGAUCUCGACCUCUCCUGCUUAGAUCGAUGAUUUCCAAGCCUUUCUCACCCUUUAGGUUUCUUCUGAAACCCUAACCUUCAAGGUUCUUCUGAUUCUUUUAGAUCCAUUGUCGAUCUGUGUUCUCUCCAAACCUUUUGAAAGUUUUCUUAAAGUUUCUUUCAAAACCUUACCCUCAAAACCUUUAUCUUUUCCGAUUUAGGGUUUUGUUAAGUUAUUUUGAAGCUUUUCUGAUUUUUUUAAACAUGUCGUUCUUCUACUGUGUUUCUUAUGUGGAUUCUUCUACUAUGUCUCUUAUGUUGUUCUUCUAUUGUGUUUCUUUAUGUUAAAAGUCUUGGCCCUUUCUUAAGGUUUCUGAUUUUAUUUUCUUCGUUGAUAUUUUUUCCUGAUUCUUUUGUCUUUCAUCUCUAUACUCGAUUGAUGGUGAAAACCCUAAAUUUGGGGGGUUCACUCGAGUUUUGAGGCUAUUCUCUAUGUGAUUUGCUUGUCCUUCAUCUCUGAACUUGUUUGGUUUCGAAACCCUAAUUCCUUUGGACCUAUUUGAGUUUCUGAAGUUGUUUCAUCUGUUGCUCGACUGAAUUUCAAAAUCUUUUGUUUCUUUAUAUGGUUCUGAAUCCCUGCUAAACUCUUCUAAGGUCUUUCUACUGGACCCUUUGCAUGCUAUUUAAUACUUUCUCCCUUCUCCAUUGUUGAGUUACAGAAACUGACCUAUGUGACUACUAUGUUCCUAUAGUCCACUACUUACUGAUUUUGCAAUUGCUUGACACUUUUCUUUUUCCUAAAUUCAGCCUCGCAUGCCUAAUACUUGUGUGCUCUUUAUAUAUGCUGAGCUUCCCCUCUAAAAUGACUUUCAAUUUUUGACUGAUUUCAGACUUCCUUGUGUAAGCCUGAUUGAUGCUUUCCUUGUUUUACUAAUUUCCGUGUCUCUUGGUUUGAUUUGAAAACUUUUCUUAGCCUUUCUGACUUGGUUUAUUCAUGAACCAGUAAUUUCGAAUAUCUGACUCCUUGAUUUACUAUGUACUGAUUGAUUCUUACCUUAUUUGUUUAACCGUGUAUUUCAAAGAUCCUUCCCUUAAUUAAACUCAUAUGUAUUUACCCUUAAUUGUCUACUUUGCACAAUAUGCUUAUUUGAUCUCUUUCCUUAAAUGAUUUCUGUUCAUUACCGUUUAAGUUCGAACUACUUAAUUAAAGGAAGUUCUUCUACUGAAUGAUUUAAAUUGGUACAAGAUUAUUUUCUUGCCUUAUUCUUUGCCUGUUUUCAAACAAUAAAUACCAUGCUCUUUCAUUGACACAAACACACACGAACAUUUUUAGUUUUCUGAACUCACACUCAUAUUCAAAAAGCACUUUCUCUUGUUACUUGUACUGUGGCCUGUUUUCUUUCAAGUGCUGCUACUACUGUGUUUUUCUUCUUUGAAACUAGUAUGUCCUGAUUAAGGUUUUCAGCAACUACAACAAUGUGUUUAUUUAAUACCUUCACUUGCAUGUCGACCUAUUGCUUGUGUUUAGUUCAGAAUUUACUUUAGCAUGUUGUAGUUUCCUUCCUAUUAUGAAUCCCAAAUCCCCUANNNNNNNNNNNNNNNNNNNNNNNNNNNNNNNNNNNNNNNNNNNNNNNNNNNNNNNNNNNNNNNNNNNNNNNNNNNNNNNNNNNNNNNNNNNNNNNNNNNNNNNNNNNNNNNNNNNNNNNNNNNNNNNNNNNNNNNNNNNNNNNNNNNNNNNNNNNNNNNNNNNNNNNNNNNNNNNNNNNNNNNNNNNNNNNNNNNNNNNNNNNNNNNNNNNNNNNNNNNNNNNNNNNNNNNNNNNNNNNNNNNNNNNNNNNNNNNNNNNNNNNNNNNNNNNNNNNNNNNNNNNNNNNNNNNNNNNNNNNNNNNNNNNNNNNNNNNNNNNNNNNNNNNNNNNNNNNNNNNNNNNNNNNNNNNNNNNNNNNNNNNNNNNNNNNNNNNNNNNNNNNNNNNNNNNNNNNNNNNNNNNNNNNNNNNNNNNNUUGUACUUAUCCCCAUUCUGAUAAUAUAAUUUGGGUGUAAGCACUGCCCGGAGUCCCAUUGAGGCUCUUAGGGAACUCUGACACACUCAAAUUGGAGAAAGGCUUUGGGUUAAUGGUCUUUGAGUUGGGUUUAUCUUGUAACUCAGAGAGAAAGUCAGAAUCAGGCUUCCUCUGGUUGUACUUUUAUUUAUAUUUGGAUGUAAUUUUAUUUAUUUUGGUUUGUAAUAAUUUGUAACAAACAUUUGGGCUGGUUAGUGAAAAAGGGUGGGUAACUAUGUAUGCAAAGGGUAGAAAUCAUGACUAUAGGACUACUAUAUUCCUGCAUACUCAACCUCAUAUAGAAACCAUGUCUAUAUGAUUUUGCAUAUUCAAUUACAUCUAAAAAUCAUGUCUAUAGGAUUCUACAUAUUCAAACUUCACUUAGAAAUCAUGUCUAUAGGAUUCUGCAUAUUUAACUUCACUUAGAAAUCAUGUCUAUAUAAUUCUGCAUAUUUAACUUCAUAUAGAAAUCAUGUCUAUAGGAUUCUUCAUAUUUAACUUCAUAUAGAAAUCAUGUCUAUAGGAUUCUGUAUAUUUAACUUCAUAUAGAAAUUAUACCUAUAGAAACGUUCAAUUCAGCAUAAGGUUUAAAAUAAGGUCCGCAUUUAGAUACCACGUCUAUAAGAUUUAAAAUCAGCAACGUAUAGAAAGCAUGCCUAUAGGAUUUUCUAAUAAAAUCUGAUUCGCUUCACUCAGUGUUAGACAUAAAACCGGUAAUAAUGGCUACUAUCAGCCGCAUGACUUUUAAUCAAUUCGUUUAAAUCCUGCCUCUCUUUUAAUAAUUUGAUUCUAUCACUUAGCAAGUUUAACGAGUAUGCAUUCAAACAGUUCAUUUCGAGCCUUAUUGUUUCAUUGCUUUCCGAAUCCAGUAGAUACCAUGCCUAUAGGACCCCUGUUCAAACAUUUAGGCAAGCCUUAGGGUAAUAAAAGCUAAAUCUACUUCUGUUAAUAAUUACAACCAGCAGGCAGGCCUGAUUCGGACAUCUUAUCUGAGUUAUGUGAUAAGCUGAAACUGUCUCAACAAUUUCCUCUUACUCGUCUUUAAUACCUUUUAAAUCAGACCUAAACAAUAUGUGUAAGUCGUGCUAAUUACGUACUUCUUUGUUCAAGGAGGUAUAUCUGAGCCUCUGCUUGUUAUAUGCUUUCCCCAAUUUGCAAUACAUGUUUUGUAUGUCGCCUUAGAGUUUUUUCCUUUAAAACUACAAAUAAGCCUAAUAUCCCCCCCUUUUGGGAUUAUUAGUCCUAAAUACCUCCGGGACUGAUAGGAUUGAGACGGGUAAUAGCAUGCAAUAAGUAAACGAGACCAAUCCGCGCUUUAAUACCUUAACAGGGUGGGAAGGGUAGAUAUGGAUAUGAUGACCACGCAAUAAUGUCACGUGUAGCCUCUCAUCGAGGAGUUAUUACCGGGCAUUGUGUGGGGUGAUCCAUAUUGUUAAUAAACCUAGGACCCCAUUUCCCUUAUUUCUCUAUUUCUUUUAUCAUUCCAACUCUUUUUUUUAAAAAAAAUCAGCUUUUCUUUGCUCUUUCAAACUUUGUUUAUUUGCAAAUCAUUAUAUGAAAUCCCCUCUUAUUUGAGCCUUAUUUGUCUACAUGUUAAUUGCACCAAAUUCACAAUAAUUGUCUGGCCGGAAACUGUCACACCUCCUUUUUACCACCCGAGGGGGUAUAAGGGAGUUUUUUCCAACUUAAAGUGAUAAUCGAAACGAGAUUAUUUAUUUAUUAAAUUCAUAGUAUCCACUUGGGAGAUGUAUGGUGUCCCAAGUCAUCGGUUAAAUCACGAAUCAAGGAAAAGCUUGACUCUGUUUAACAGUUCGCGAACCAGAAAUCCGAGUAAGGAAUUCUGUUAACCCGAGAGAAGGUGUUAGGCAUUCCCAAGUUCCGUGGUUCUAGCACGGUCGCUCAACUGUUAUAUUCGGCUUAAGUAUCUGAUUUUAAACAAUUAUGAACCUAUGUGCAAAUUUUAGUUUUAACCGCUUUUAUUCAUUUUUAAAGAAAAUUGCAACAUUAUUAAAACACGUCUCGAACCACGUCACAUAAAUGCACCCGUGAUUUUUGACAUAUUUUAAUAAACGUUGUUGAGAUUUGGAUUUGGGUCACAUAAAUGCACACCCGAGUUUAAGGAAAUUAAUUUAAAUUACGCGCCUAAAGCAACUACGCAUUCAAAUUAUUCUCCUAAACUAAUUUUGAGAUUAUUGUAAAGGCCAAGAGUUAUGGAAUGGAUUUGUGUAGAAGUGUGAAGUUUAAUUACUAGGAUUAUCUACAAUGAAUUGCUUUUUUUUUAGUUAAAAAUAAUAUUUGCAAUUAUUUAUUAUGAAGGAGAUAUGGGCUAGUAUCCAUCUGGGUGCCGAUGUUUUCAUUGGCCCAAUUAAUUUAACUCAUGUUGUAUAUGUUUAAAUGAAUACAGAAAACUCAACUAUUUUCAAGAUCAAAUACUAGCCCAUUAAUAUGAAAUAAAUUCCUAAAUUCUAAAUAAAAAGUGAAAUGUGGUCAACAAAAAACUUGAAACAUACAAAAAGAUCUAAAGUCCUAAUAAGCAUAGCCAAACAAGAUUCCAUAAACUUUGCAUAACUAAUCAUGAGUGCAUUUGAAAGCUUAAACAUAUAGAAACUAUAAAAUUAGCAACUCAGCAAAUAUCUAGCAAUAACUUAUAGGCAUGCAAGUUAAUAAAAAUUGAAAGGAAAAAAAAAAGAACGAACCUCAAAUCAAUCAACUUUCUUCAAUACUCAAAAGGCGAAUUUGUACAACACAAUAUCGUUUUGAUAGCCAAAGUGAACUUUCAUCAACAUAAUCCGGAAACGAGCAAAAAAAAAAACAGCGAGCAGAACCCCAAACCAGCACUUCAGGGUUAGAAAACACAAAGCAAGGAAAGGUCGCCGGAAAGCAGGGAGUGUGCCGGAAUUUCAGUCGGCCACGGACUUUGAUGGGAACCAGUAAGGUGAAACCGGCCAGAUCUAGAGAGUGAUGAGGCGAGGCAACAAUGGCGAGUUUUUGUCCAAAUCUGGAGCGGAUCCGGUGAGCUCUUUAUGAUGUGUGAGUGAUAGUGAAGGAAUAAGGGAAGGAGAGAAAGCAGGGGAACUCGAUGGCUCACCGGUUAGCUUGUCGGAGGUGGCAGCGGCGGCGAAUGUUUGCUUUUCAAGUUGAGAGAGAUGAUGGGAUUAGGCGUAUUUGCUUUUUUCUUCAAUUGAGAGCAUGAAGAAGAUGAAUCGGAAAGGGGAGCAUGAAGGGUCUGCCAAUUUUUGAGUCUUGGGUCUAGCUUAGGGUGUCAAUUUUUAUUGCUAGUUUUGAGUGCAAGCUUAUGUCCAACAGAUGACCUCAUGAAAUUUCAUGGAGGAGGGAUUAUUUCCCUUUGUAUGUUUUGGAGAGAAAUUGUAGAAGAAGAAAGAAGCUCCCGUGUUUGCGCCGCUUCUAUGUAGGUGAAGGAUCUGAUGGAUUUUUUUUCUAGGUCUCAGAGGUGUAUGUCAAUUUAAGGAUUAGGUACUAUUAUAUAAGGGUAUGGAUUAGGUUAGGGAUAUGAGAUUAGGAAUUAUGGGCUUGGAAAUUAUGGUCUAGGUCCAAAAUUAGGCUUAAAAAUGCGUUGCUCGAGCCCAAGUUUUAUUCUUUCUCCGCGAACGAGACUAAAAUACGAUCUCAUUUAUUAAUUAGUCCCACUUAAAUAAAAUAACUAUUAAAAUAAAACUGAC
rnacentral:lncRNA from 1 species